rnacentral:rRNA from 1 species
AAUAUUGUACAAUGGGCGAAAGCCUGAUGCAGCGGCGCCGCGUGGGGGUUGAAGGCCUUCCGUUUGUAAACCCCUUUCAGCUGGGAAGAAGCGAGAUUGACGGUACCUGCGGAAGAAGCGCCGGCUUAGUACGUGCCAGCAACCGCGGUAAUACGUAGGGCGCAAGCGUUGUCCGGAAUUAUUGGGCGUAAAGAGCUCAUAGGCGGUCAGGCGCGUCUGGUGUGAAAACCCGAAGCUCAACCUCGGGCCUGCAGUGGGUACGGGCUGACUAGAGUGCGGUAGGGGAGACUGGAAUUCCUGGUGUAGCGGUGGAAUGCGCAGAUAUCAGGAGGAACACCGAUGGCGAAGGCAGGUCUCUGGGCCGCAACUGACGCUGAGGAGCGAAAGCAUGGGGAGCGAACA